GAUGAACGCUAGCGAUAGGCCUAACACAUGCAAGUCGAGGGGCAUCACAUGAAGUAGCAAUACGGAUGGUGGCGACCGGCGCACGGGUGAGUAACACGUAUGCAACCUGCCUUCAACAAGGGGAUAACCCGUUGAAAGACGGACUAAUACCCUAUAACACAGGGGUCCCGCAUGGGAAUAUUUGUUAAAGGACAACCGGUUGAAGAUGGGCAUGCGUUCCAUUAGCUAGUUGGCGGGGUAACGGCCCACCAAGGCAACGAUGGAUAGGGGAACUGAGAGGUUUAUCCCCCACACUGGUACUGAGACACGGACCAGACUCCUACGGGAGGCAGCAGUGAGGAAUAUUGGUCAAUGGACGCAAGUCUGAACCAGCCACGUCGCGUGAAGGAAGACGGCCCUACGGGUUGUAAACUUCUUUUAUACGGGAAUAAAGUGCCCCACGCGUGGGGUUUGCAUGUACCGUAUGAAUAAGGAUCGGCUAACUCCGUGCCAGCAGCCGCG
rnacentral:rRNA from 1 species